rnacentral:misc_RNA from 1 species
GCUUCCAGCAGAUUCCCGGAUUCAUCCCGUGUUGCAUAUCUCUCAAUUAAAAGGAGUGGUGGAAGAUCAUAUUGUUGCUAUUGACUUACCUAAAGAGCUGGCUGUCGAUGAAGAGAUGGUGGAGUCGAGGAAAUUCUAACCCGGAAAGGCAUGGGAAAUGGGGACAAUACGAGAUUCUGCUACUAAUUCGUUGGAAAGGUCGUUCUGCGGACGAAGCUACCUAGUUGAACUUGGUUGAUUUUCACAAUCAAUCUUCCUUCUUCAGCCUUGAGGACAAGACUAUUUUUCCAGCAGCAGGCGAUGUUAUGGAUCAGAUCAGGAAGUUGGGAUUGAAAAACCAAGGCCCGGGAAUGCUGAAGGCGUACUCACGCAUGCCCAAACAAGCAAGGGAGGUUUUUGGCAGGACAGAAGUUUCCAAUGGCACAGAAAGGAAGUCAAGAUUGGUGGGACUGACAGCUAAAUAACAAAAUGGAGUGAAUAGUAUACAAGAGCGAAGUGGUUAUGAAAUAAGGCAUUCUUUUGAUGUAUUGAAAUUGCGGCUUUGAGCUGGGUCAAGAGAAUUAUAGAAUUCCUCGGAAGAGAGUUUCUGUCGUUAUUUUUUCUUUCUUCUGCUUAUCAUCAUAUUUGAAUACUUUCAGUUCCAUUCUCUUGUAUUAUUGGACAAUCAAUUCAAUAUAAUUCUCUAUGAUUUUCUCUUAAAA